GCCUACUUAAUUGUAAGUCGUUUACUUUUAAAAAAGAGAAAUUAGGAUAAAUAUACACAUUUCACACCAAUAUUAAGAAACUACCCUAUCCCUGUUUUGUGCACUGUGCAAUUUUGAUUAAUACCAUUUUACCCCUAAUCUCUAAUGAUGCUACAAAAUCCUAUCGAAAGAUACGAAUUUAUCUCAAGUACAUGUAUAUUGAAAAAGAGAAAAUAGUAAAAGAAAGAAAUAUGGGAGACACCAAAGAGAGAGAUACGAUAGAGAAAACAAAUGACAGGAGGAAGAAAGAAAGAAGAAGACAGUCGGUGCGGAGGUGGUGAUAGGGGCGGAGGAGACGGUAUACUGGGAAGCGAUGGUAAGCGCCACAGACGGUACAUCAACUCGCUUCCAAUGGUGACUCCUUCACUUCCUUUACCAUCACCACCUCUGGCAACAUGAAUCCUAGAUAAUUGCAUCAUGUUCCUAUCACUGCACCAAGUCUAUUUCUCGUCUCCUUCCUGUUUCUCGGCUUAUAUGUUAUUUGGUUAUGAACACGCUUAUGUUCUCCCUGGUGCUGCAAGGGAGCUAGCCACAACGAUGUAUCAAGAUCUGGCUACUGGUUAACCAAAAUUGGAUGUCCCUAUGCUACGGAUAGUGUCCUAUGGUUACCCUUCUCUGUGUUGGAUUUCCUUUGUUGAACCAUCUAUGUUUUAACCCACUUUUUGUAUUAUAUUGUCAUGUCUUAAACAUUUAUUGACAUUGCUAUCUAUAACUUCUAUUAA